GGUUCAGCCGUGCUUCAAAUUCUUAAACACGACUUGGAUUGUGGAAGCUUUGGAAGAUGGGAUUUCGGAGUUCCGCAGGAUUCCACAAUGAUGGGAAGCCAAACUGAUCAGAGAAUGGAACUGAAAGGUGAAGAUGCAAAGGAAAAUCGUUCACAUGGAGCAGUAGAAUUAAUAACAGCUA